rnacentral:tRNA from 1 species
GGGGAUUUAGCUCAGCGGUAGAGCGCUUGCCUAGCAAGCGCAAGGCCCUGGGUUCGAUCCCCAACUCCG